rnacentral:lncRNA from 1 species
GGGAAAAGAGGCAGUUUCUUAUUCUAGAAUUUCAAACACAGGAGGGCAGGAGGGGGACACAGUGGAAGCUCCACAACCUGUAGCAGGGAUAAAACCCGGAGGGACCUGAGCAGUUAACAGAUUAGCCCAAGAAACUCCACCCAGAGUAUCCCUUUGAGGUUCAAAACGUUGAAAUAGGACAUCAAAGUCAGAGACAAAACACGACAAAGCUCCGGGGUCUUGGGCCAUACUGGCCAUCAGGGACCCCAAUAGAUCCUCGGUGUGCCCUGUGGAUGUGGAAGCUCGCAAACUUUGUCUGGGUGUCUGUACCUUUAGUUGAGUGCUUAUUUGCAGCAGAAGCAACUUUGGCUGGCAUUUUCUUCUUAGGAGGCAUGCCGCUGGACCCUAAGAAACAACAAGCAAACAAUUAAUUUCUUUUAUGCCGAAUUGACGCAGCAGUGGACACUAAAUAUUGUGAACCACCAAAUAGAGCCAAUAAGUAACAAAUAAUUAAAUCCAGCCAACAAGACUGAUCAGGUAGAAAUUAAAUGACCCUGCUACCAAUAAUAAAGGCGUCAGUUUUUCGCCCCAUAAGACGUACCUGACCAUAAGACGCAGCUAGUUUUUAGAGGAGGAAAACAAGAAAAAAAAUUAUUCUGAACGAAACAGUGGAUGUAUGAUUUUUGUGGUUCAUGCUGUGGCCACAAACAUGAUUUGAUGGUGAGUUUGGAGAAUCCAUGUGGAUCCGUGCUUUGUAAUCACGUUUUUGCGUCAUUUCAGCCCCACGAAACAGUGGAUGCAUGAUUUUUUUUGGUGCAGGCUGUAGUCAUGGACAUGCUCUGUGAUCUGAUGGUGAAUUUGGGGUGCAAAAAUUUAGCCCCCACAAAAUUUACCUCCGCACCCUAAAACCUUGUAUUGAAGGCGCAAAGUAAGCAAAGCCCAAAAAUGGAGCCACAGAAUCACUGGGAGAAGUGACGGCCCCGACCAAGUCACAAACGCCACACCACGGACCUGUGAAUUAACUGGAGAGGCAUCAGGCCCGACAGAAGCCGUAUUUGGAAAGAACGAGCAACUCAAGGCAGCUCAAGACGAUGCAAAAUGGAAAGGUCAUGGCAAACCGUAAAAGGCUCCACGGAAACAAUCCAGACAGAGCUCUGUGGUCAGCAGCGCAAAGCAGGUGCUUGGCACACGUCGUGCUGCCACUUUUAUACUUCCCCCCCAUGAUCACCUAUUCAAAUUGAUUGGGCAAUAGUGCUGGGUAAUCGUGGUGCCACCCUGGUGUGAGGGUAAUGGCUCCAUCCACGCCAGGGUUGGGGGACUGGGUUGAGGGCCUGCCUGCAACCAGGACCAUCUAUUAAGAUGAUCCCACUUGCUAUCUGGAAUGCUCGCAAUGGGGGGGGGGACCUUAGCUGCACACCCACCUCCCCUCAUUUGGUGGGGGGGUCUCUCCCUCCCCCACCUGCCCAGCAGCUUCCCUCCCUACUAUCUCCCCCUCCAUUAGACCUUAGACUUAAGACUUUUUCUGCCACCAGGUGUGGCUUCUGAGAGAGAGAAGCCGAGUGAACAAGACAGGCAUCAUACUGCCUCUUUCCCUCUCUCAUAGCUCUUCCUAUGCUUGUUUCUCUUAGCUGUUUCCUAAGGAGGGAUCUACUGCUAGUGAUUUCAAUGACUGGCUAAGCAGGAGCGAAAAGCCUCCUAGUCAUUGGAAGUGUACUUAUAUUAUUGUGGAAUCAGAAGUGUGGGCUCAUGGUCGGCCCUUCAGUGAUGUGGUGUCAUUUAUAUAUAACAUUUAUAUUGACUAGGGAUGGGUGAAUAAGUUAAUUUCUGUUGCUCCGAAUUUCUCAUUUUUCCAAACUUAAGUUCUCCCCAUUUCUACAUCAGUUUGCAGAUUGUUUAAUAUCUAAUAUUGUUUGAAUGCAAUUCUGUAUAACAGACACAUUUUUUGCAACGCAAAUCCCCAUAAUAUAAUGUAAUCCCUCCCACAUGAAUAUAUGCACUUUUUGCAUGCUUUACCCAAGUAUAUGCAUUUUGGUACAUGCUAUUUGGCUGAAGAACUGUAUUGCAAAAUUCAAAGAUGUUCAAACUUUGAAGGAUAGCUGUUGCUUUAAAUAUUAUUUCAGAAUGUGUGAAUUAUACAGAUUCCUUUUUAAAUGGAAACUGAAUAGAAUUCAUCCCCCAUUGCCAAUAACCAGUGUGGAAUUCAUUGCAGAUUCUUUGGUGGUUCAGCUUGGCAAGAUCAGAACGCAGCCCUACAUCUCUGGGGGGCUGGUGGUUUCAUUGGGUCCAGCAUAAAGUGUGAGCUGCUACACCUGCUAUGAAGCACCCAAAAUACACGUCUUUGCCACUGAAGCUGUUAUAACCGACAAAUGGUAUGAAAUAGACCAAUUUAAAAAUGAAUGGAUUAUAUGAAUGGAUAGUGCAUGGAAUUACUAAGCAAAAAAGGAGGCUGAAGAGGAGCCAAAGUCCUCUUUUUAUGGGUGAUGCAAAACGAACAAGACUAAAUGAAAAAUCACCCACAAGGAGUUAAAAGCUCUCAAAAUAUUAGUUGCCUAGAAGAGAUGUUAAAAUAAAUUAUUCCUCUUUUAUGCGAAAAAAAUCUGAGGAUUUCUGAUUUGCACCCAGACCUUUUCAUUAUUCUCCAACUGUGCAGAGCAGCAAUAGCUUGAAUAAAUUUUGACUGAGCAAUAUUAUUAUUUAAAGUCUUUUUGCUUAAUGUAAUCAUUUACACAACUAUCACGACUUUAGCCCUUAUAUCCAAAGAACAUUUCCUUUUCACCCCCUGCACUCAUUUUCCUUUGCAUAGCAAGAGUUGUGCUUCAGAUUAAUACUUUAAAAUAUAAUGAAAUUUCUUGGGUUGGAGGUUUCUUUUUUAAUACAUAUAAAGAGAAGCCAUUAAUUGUUGUGAAGAGCUUAUGAAACUAGGG